GGCAGAUGACAACUUUCCAUCAUAUCCAGCAAAAUCAGCUGCGAGAUUUCAUCACGUAAUAAUAAUAAUAAUAAUAAUAAUAAU